GGCGAGUGGCGGACGGGUGAGGAAUACAUCGGAAUCUACCUUUUCGUGGGGGAUAACGUANGGAAACUUACGCUAAUACCGCAUACGACCUUCGGGUGAAAGCAGGGGACCUUCGGGCCUUGCGCGGAUAGAUGAGCCGAUNUCGGAUUAGCUAGUUGGCGGGGUAAAGGCCCACCAAGGCCGACNAUCCAUAGCUGGUCUGAGAGGAUGAUCAGCCACACUGGAACUGAGACACGGUCCAGACUCCUACGGGAGGCAGCAGUGGGGAAUAUUGGACAAUGGGCGCAAGCCUGAUCCAGCCAUACCGCGUGGGUGAAGAAGGCCUUCGGGUUGUAAAGCCCUUUUGUUGGGAAAGAAAAGCAAUCGAUUAAUACCCGGUUGUUCUGACGGUACCCAAAGAAUAAGCACCGGCUAACUUCGUGCCAGCAGCCGCGGUAAUACGAAGGGUGCAAGCGUUACUCGGAAUUACUGGGCGUAAAGCGUGCGUAGGUGGUUG
rnacentral:rRNA from 1 species